AUUCCCCACUUAGAUUUCUUGCCGGCGGUCUAGUUGUAGGUUACGGAGAGGAGCGCUCGGUUUAGCGGAUCAGGGCUGAGGUUGGAGGCAGGGGAGAGAGAGAGAGGAGGAGGAACCGGCAGCUGUGGUCCUGGGGGGGCAGGGAUGGAGUGCCUUGGUCAGGGGUCCUGGGUAAAAAAGAGCUCCUAAAAGGGGGAGGUAAAGGAACCUGACGAACAAGUCACCUGCAGUGUGUCCUAGGAGGCUGGUUCUGUGCUUUCUUCCCUUUCUACUGGUGCGGCUCCUAGGCAUCAUUUGUCAGCGCUCCUCCUCCUGCUCUUCCUCUGUCCUCCUCCUCCUCUUCCUCCUCCUCUCCCCCCUCCCCCUUCUCCUUCUCCUGCUUUCGCUGUUGCUGCUGCUGCUGCUGCUCUCACUGCUGCUGCUCCUGCCCUCGCUGCUCCUGCCCUAGCUGCUCAUAUGCCCUCGCUGCUGCUGCUUUCGCUGUUCCUGCUGCUGCCCCUGCUAGGGGCCUGAGCUCCUCAGGAAAACUAAGCAAAGCAAAGCGAACACCAGCCAAAAGAAGGAGGAUCCCGAGCUACAGAACCGCUCGGCUGUCAGGUUAGAAGCGGAACCGGUCCAAAGAAAGGAAGAAACACACAAAGAACGUGGUGAGAGGAGGAGGAGGAGUAAAAUCGCAGGGGGGGAGGGGGCGGGAAAAAGAGGGAGGAGUGGAAGAAGAAGAAGAAGAAAAAAGACGGCAACUGGAAAUGCUCGACUGCAUUCCCUCCUCUCUUCUUUUUCUCCUGCUGUCUCUGCCUCCGUUGAACAUGCUCUCAUUCGAGACAAUACCCUGCCGGCUACUAGAGUCCGUCCCGGGCACAACGAGCGUCUCCUUGUAGCGGAUACACUUCUUAAAACGGGGGGGGGGGGGGGGGAGAGAGAGAGAGAGAGAGAGAGAGAGAGAGAGAGAGAGAGAGAGAGAGAGAGAGAAGAAGAGAGGAGAAGAAGGAAAAAGAGAGGGGAGGAGGAGUAUGAGAGAAAAGGAGAGGAAAGAUAAGCAUCUCUCUUAUUCGGGACCUCUGGGGCUUGUCUAAGCGCCGGGGGUGGGGGUGAGGGCAGUUGGCUCUCCCCUCCCCCCUCCAGCAGCGCCCCAGACUCUGAGAUCGGCCCCUCUGGGAUCUCUCAGGCCUUUGCUGAGGAGAUAUAGCAGGGGUCGUAGAAGGGAAGGGAAACGGGCCUGGAGGCAAGAGUGAAGAGCUAUCUUUCCGCUUUGACUUUCCGAGGGUCCUAGGAAACUUUGCUGGAACCGAAAGACAAACUUUGAUUUCCGCGCUGUCGCUCCCUGCCCUACUACCCUAAACCGGCGGCCUUCUCCCUUUGCCUGUUACUGCCAACUUCUCUUCUUUCUUUCGUCUUUCUUUUUUUUUUUUUUUUUUUUCCUUCUGAUUUCCUUCAUUUCGGCUCCCUGGCCCCUCCGCCGCUGGCCUGAGCGAGGGAAUGCCGUUAGUCCAAGCCACGGGACCCCUACCCCCUACCCCCCCCAUCUCCUCGAGAUCGGUGCGUGGCUGCCCUCCCCCUUGGCUUAUGUUCACCCCUUAAGGCCUUGAGCCUCAUGGCGGGACCGAACCGAUUCCCUGGGACUGGUGCCACUUUGAACUAGGGGAAAAGUUUCCUUGAGCCUUGGAAGGGCUGGUGUCCGCCCUCAGACUGGGGGCACUGCUUGGGGACUCUUGGUUACUUCUGUAUCAACCCAACAACUUAGACGCCUGCAGGCUGGGGCGCAUCUGCAAUCUGCUUGGAUGUGUGUGGUUGAAGAGCCGGCAAGAAGAUGCGGCCAGGAGCAACUCGGUACCCAAGCAGACUAGAACUUUUCAGAUUCAUUGUUAACAAUAAUGGAUGGUAUUCUGUGAACAUGCUGUACCAGAUGUGUUUCCUGAAGCAAGUCUCAUUGAUUAAAGUAAGUCAUUAUCAUCUUGAAAACCAGUUAAAUAACUGCUUACAUGUAGAUGUACACAGAAUGCUGCAUAAAAAUACAUCAAUAUAAUGUCUGUUCUCUGGGAGUUUAUAGUUUAACUAUAAAGAAUUAAUAAAAACAUAUGGAAGUAGACAAUGUUGUAUCUAUACAGAAGUCUGCCUAGUAUUGAGUAUCCAGGAGUGUGGAGGGGAGGAAGGGAGCAGCAUCUCAGAAUAAAAGAUCUUUGACGCAAAAUAGUCAACUCUUAACUAAUUAAUUAUCUUUUCUACAACAUCCCCAUCACAAAUGGUCACCCAGCCUUCACUUAAAAACCUCUAGUAGAGAGGAACUACAUCCCUUUGAUGUAAUCUUACCCAUUUGUUGUUUAAAAAAAAGUUUUCAUGAAUGUCAUUUGGUUUUUUACAUCAUAACUUUCUCUGGUAUCCCUUCCACUUCCAGAGUGCCAUCCCAUAUUUUUAAAAGAAUAUUUUUAAGUGAUUAAAAAAAAAAAGUUAAAUUAAUUGAUCAGUACAUCAAAACGUCUGAAAAUAUGUUCAGUGUACAUUUUUGAACCUCCAACAACUGCAAAUGUUUAGGGUAGAGUGAGAGUUUCUUCAUGUAUCAAUUCUUUCAAAUCACAUUUGUUCUUUAUAAAUUUGCAGCAUUUUUUGUUCUUUAUAAUUUUGUAGCUUUUAAAAAAAUUGUAGUUCUUCCUAUUUAUUUAUAUUGUUGCAAAUAUUAUUUUCUUGGGUCUGUAAACAGACCUCUGCUAUAACAGUUCAAAUAGAUUUUAACACAUUUCUCUUGAUUCAUCAUAUUUGAUAUUUCUUAAGAGAUAACUGUUCCAUUAUAUUUAUGUGCCACAAUUUGUUUAGCCAUUCCCCAAUUGAUGAGUAUCUACCUUAUUUUCAGUUCUUGGCUAUCAUAAAAAAAGUGCUGACAUAAAUAUUUUGGUGUUUGUGGAAAUUUUCUUAUCAUAUUAUUUUCUAUCUUGGAGGAUAAGCCUAUUAAUGGAAUCUCUGGGUCAUAGGGCAUAGAGAUUUUAGAAUCUUUAAUUUGAUAAUUCCAAAUUGCUUUGACUGAUUGAUAAUUCUACUUAUAACAUACUAAUAUACCUAUUUUCCUACAACCCUUCCAAUAUUGACUAUUCCCAACUUUUGUCAUCUUUGCUAGUUUGCUAAAUAUGAGGAAGAAUCUCAAGAUUUGUUUUGAUUUGCAUUUUUUUUUUUACUAUUAGUGAUUUAGAGCAUUCUUCAUAUGGUUAUUCAUACUAUGCUAUUCUGUGUUUGAGAACCGUUCAUAUUCUUUGAUCAUUUGUUGGGAGAUGCCUUUUGUGUGUAUACAUACAUCUUUAUUAAUUGUUUAUAUAUAUAUAUAUAUAUAUAUAUAUAUACAUGCACAUACAAAUAUAGGUGUAUAUAUAUGUGUGUAUAAAUAUAUAAAUAUAUGUGUAUAUAUAAGCACAUAAAUACACAUUAUAUAUCUUGAUUAUCAAAUCCUUGUCAGAGAAGUUUGGUACAAAAGAUUUUUUUUAGCCAUUUAACUGCCUCCCUUUAUAUCCUAAAUGCAUUAUUUUGUUUGUGUAGAAGCUUUUUAGUUUCAUGUAAUCAUAGUUAUAUUUUUUAACUUCUGUAAUUUCCUUUAUCACUUGUUUAGUUAAAAAUUCUCCCCUGACUAUUAGAGGUAUAUGAUCUAUUUCUUUUCUAAUUUUAAUAGUAUUUUCUUUAAUUUUAAAGUCACAUAUUCAUUUAGAAUGUAUCACUGAAUAUGAUGAAUAAUAUUAGUCUAAGUCUUAUUUCUGCCACAAUGUUUUUCAGUUUCCUUAGCCUGUUUUAUCAAAUAGGGAAUCCUUUGCUAAGAAAUUUAUGUUUUUCUGGUUUUAUAAAAUUUUGGGUAAAUUUCAUUGUUUCUAAUUCUCCCUUCUGUAGCCUGUUUCAAUGAUCUACCUAUCUAUAUUUUAACCAAUAUCAGGUAGUUUUGAUGACUUCAAAUUUAUAACAUAAUUCAAGCUCUUCAAACUAACCUCUUUUCAUCAUUUCCCUUGAAAUUCUAGAUCUUAUAUUUUUUCAAAUGAAUUGCACUAUUAUUUUAUUGGGGCAUCUAGUUGGUGCAGUGGCUAGAGUGGUGGGCCUGGAGUCAGCAAGACUCAUCUUCCUAAAUUCAAAUCUGGCUCUAAAUCACUUGCUACUGGGCAAUUCUCUUAAACCUGUUUUCUUCAGUUUCCUCAUCUGGGAAAUGGCAAAGGCAUGAAAUGGCAAACUACUCCAGUAUCUCUGCCAAGAAAAUUCCAAAUGGGUUCACAAGGAAUUGGACAUGAUUGUAAUGACUGAAUAACAGAAAAAGCAGCACUCUGGAAAAAUAUGACUAUUUUGAAAUGCUCUCUUUCCCUUCCUGGUAAUUUCCUUACAGGUGCAACAUCCAUGCUACAUUUUUUUCCCUUAAGGCAAUUGGGGUUAAGUGACUUGCUCAGGGUCACACAGCUAGGAAGUAUUACGUAUCUGAGACAAGAUUUGAACUCAGGUCCUCCUGACUUCAGGACUGGUGCUCUAUCCACUGUGCCAUCUAGAUGCCCUAUUCAUACUACAUUUAAAUAAUGAAAUGCCUGGCUCAGCAGUGUAAUGGUUAACAAAGUGUACUUUGCUUCAUAAGGCAUAGAGAUUUUAGAAUCUUUAAUUUGAUAAUUCCAAAAUUUUUGCUUUCCAAAAUGGUUUGACUGAUUAAUAAUUCUACUGAUAACAUACUAAUAUACCUAUUUUCCUACAACCCUUCCAAUAUUGACUAUUCCCAAGGUAAACACGUUUUAAAGAAUCAGAUAAAUUUUAGGAAAAGGCACAUGUCCUUGGGAAUAAAAAAAGCAGAGAAGAAAGAGGAGAGAAAUGAGCACAUUCAGAGCAUUAAGUCUUCCCUUUAAAGCAUCUUUAGAAAAUACAAAUCCAUCCUUCACAGAUCUCAUGGAAACAAAGGCUGGCACUAGUGGAGGAAUACAGUUCUUGUGACUUGGUUCUAGCAGUGUCUCCCCUUCUUAUUACUGCACCUUUCUGACAGCCACACAUGGCUCCUCUAGUUCCCAACUUUGUGCUGCUUCCACUUCUCUGUUUCUCUCCCCACUUCUUCCCCAAAUUUGUAGUCCCUGGUGCACUUUCACUAGCCACUUGCUGUAACUUAGGAGGGACUCACCCAAUCAUGCCGACCACAAGUCAGGGGAAACUCCUCUGAGGGCAAGGAAGGGACUGAUGGGAGAUUCCUACCUGCCAAUAGGCAUUCAUCUCCAGUGUCUUAUUACAUAGAGAAAAACCCAUAAGGUAAAAACCUGGGAGCUGAAAUCAACCACAAGUUAAACAGAAGUCCACCAUAAUAAAGCUAGUAUUAAGAAACUUUCCCUGAGGUUUGUUAAGUACAAGAUGGUGUCCAAAAAAACCAAAAUGAAUCCUUCUGUAAGAUUCCACUUUCAUAUAUUCAACUACUGUAAUUGUAUCUGAAUCUCAAUUGAGAGAUACUUGUAGUGUAGCAAAUUAUCCUUCAGAUUCCACAUUGAAAAAAAGACAAAAAAAAAAAAAAAAAAAAAAAAGAAAAUUUCAUUCUAUUUAACUAAAUAUGUAAAAAAAGGUUACAAGGAAAAUAGUUAAUUAAUCCAACAUUUAUAGAGUAUUUCACCUUCAGAAUAAAAUAUAAAAUCUUUAGUUUGACAUUCAAAGCCCUUUAUAACCUGCCCUUCCAAAACACUCUUAUUACACUUUAAUCAACUUUUUUUUCAAUUCAGUGACAUUGCCCUCUUUGCUGUUCCUCUCAUUUUCUAGGUUCUGGGCCUUUUCACUGGUUAUUCCCUGUUCCUCUCCAUCCUCAUCUUUGCUUCUUGGCUCCUUUAAAUCCCAACUAAAAUCACAUCUACUACAGGAAGCCUUCAUUUUUAACUCUAGCAUUCUCUCUAGUGAUUAUUUUUACUUUCUUCUAUCUGUAAUUUAUGUAUACGUAUUUUUUUUCCUGUCCUCUCUGCCAUUAGACUGUGAAUUCUUUGAGGACAGGGACUGUCUUUUUCUUUUCUUUCUAUUCCCAGCACAUUCCUGGUACAUAGUGGGAGCUUAUUAAGUAUUUAUUGGUGAGCUCACUAAUAUGGUUUACCUCAUUUCAUCCUCAUAACAAUCCUUUGAAGCAGUUGCUCUCAUUUUACAGAGGACAAAUUGGAAAAAUAGAAAGGGACUUGCCAAGGGUAUCAGAGAUAGUAAAUAUCUGAAGAAGAAUUUGAAUUUGAGUCUUCCUGAUUUCAAGGGUAACACUAUCCAUUGUAGUGCUUAUAGUAAAUAAAUAGCUCUGUCUACUGCAAUACUUAUAGUAAGUCCUCAGAAGUAAAAUUCACAUAUUUUUUAAGUAUGGAAAGAAGCUCUUUGCCUUUAUACCCUUGAAACAAAAAUAUAUUUAAAAUUGGAUGGACAGUUAUCUGUCUGUCUUACAUGAUUUAGAAGCUUAUAGCUAAAGAGACUGGUGUCAAUUCUAUUGGUAAUUUCUGCAUAUGGUGAAAUGUCACUAUUAUGCUAUAUAUGAAGCAUUCUGUACAUAUGUAUGUGUGUGUGUGUGUGUGUGUGUGUGUGUGUGUGUAUAUAAUUUCAGAAACUUUGCGGGAAGGAUUUAUUGUUCAUUUUCCAGUCAUAUGUGACACAUUGUGACCCCAUUUGGGGUUUUCUUGGAGAGGUAUGGAAGAGGUUUGUCAUUUCCUUCUCCAGCUUAUUUUACAGAUGAGGAAACUGAGGCAAGCAGGCUGAAGUGAUUUGCCUAGGGUCACAGAGCUAGUAAAUCAGAGUUGAAGUCCUUUUAACACAAAGAGAAGUCCUUUUGACUCCAGGCCUGGUAUUCUAUCCUCUGUGUCAUAUAGCUUUAGUUAAAAUAGAAUAAGGUGAGGAGUGCCUUCCUCUCACUCCACCUCCAGUAAACAGUCAGUGAAAGUUUGUGGUGUUUUUGGUUCUUGGUUUUUGGGUUUUUUUAAGUAAAUAAAAUAGAUUGGAUUCAUAUGAUGAUUGUCUUGUUAAGUCCAGGGAGGACUUUAGUGCCUUGAGAUAAUAUCAAAGGGACAGAAGGAAGUAACUCUUUUGGCAGAGAAGCAGAAUUUACCUCCUUGUGGUCCUACUUGUGCUUUCCUUUACAUAUUUUCAUUUUAAUUGGCUCUAUUUUUACUUUUAGCAUGGAAAAAGUAAUGAAAUAAUUCAGUGGUUAAAAUUAACCAGUUUUCUAUAAAACAGGAUUCUCAGAGAUUAUUAGUAUACUAAGUUCUGAUAUAAAAAGACGUUAGACAAAUAUUCAUUUCUGAUAAGGAAUAACUACAAUUCAUAAUUGAACACAAAAUUGUUGUAGUUAUGCUUUAGGUUAUACUGACAUCUGGUGGUAGUAUUUACAUUGUGAGAGUGUUUUGUAUUUGUCAUUGUGUUUUGUUUUUUUUUUAAGGAAUUCUCCUAGCAGGAUAUUUCAGCUUCUCUUGUAGCAGUAAACUUGAGACUGCAAAGGUUAAAGGAUCUUUCUCUUCUUCCUUGUCUUCCUCCUCCCCUUUUUUUCUGCUGGUUCCCCCACCCCUAGGCCUAAAUCCAUUUCUUUUAUUACCAUGCAUUUAGGGAAAGAAAAAGCAAGUUAGCCCCCAUGUGCCUCAAGUUUUUUGCAUCACAAUCAAAUCCUUUUUUUAACUAAAGAACUAAUGUAUAAGAAGAGUAGUUCAUUCCCCACAUAUAGUACUUUAAAGCAUCCUAGAGGCUAUGUCUCAUCCAAUUCCCUCAUUUUACAGGUAAGGAAACAGAUGCUCAGAGAGUAUUUUGCCCAAUAUCACACAGGCACUAAGCUAUAGAUGGGAGGGGAAAAGAAGUUAAAAUUCUUUAUCUCCAAAUAGA
ensembl:lncRNA